AGCGUACACGGUGGAUGCCCUGGCAGUCAGAGGCGAUGAAGGACGUGCUAAUCUGCGAUAAGCGUCGGUAAGGUGAUAUGAACCGUUAUAACCGGCGAUUUCCGAAUGGGGAAACCCAGUGUGUUUCGACACACUAUCAUUAACUGAAUCCAUAGGUUAAUGAGGCGAACCGGGGGAACUGAAACAUCUAAGUACCCCGAGGAAAAGAAAUCAACCGAGAUUCCCCCAGUAGCGGCGAGCGAACGGGGAGCAGCCCAGAGCCUGAAUCAGUGUGUGUGUUAGUGGAAGCGUCUGGAAAGGCGCGCGAUACAGGGUGACAGCCCCGUACACAAAAAUGCACAUGCUGUGAGCUCGAUGAGUAGGGCGGGACACGUGGUAUCCUGUCUGAAUAUGGGGGGACCAUCCUCCAAGGCUAAAUACUCCUGACUGACCGAUAGUGAACCAGUACCGUGAGGGAAAGGCGAAAAGAACCCCGGCGAGGGGAGUGAAAAAGAACCUGAAACCGUGUACGUACAAGCAGUGGGAGCACGCUUAGGCGUGUGACUGCGUACCUUUUGUAUAAUGGGUCAGCGACUUAUAUUCUGUAGCAAGGUUAACCGAAUAGGGGAGCCGAAGGGAAACCGAGUCUUAACUGGGCGUUAAGUUGCAGGGUAUAGACCCGAAACCCGGUGAUCUAGCCAUGGGCAGGUUGAAGGUUGGGUAACACUAACUGGAGGACCGAACCGACUAAUGUUGAAAAAUUAGCGGAUGACUUGUGGCUGGGGGUGAAAGGCCAAUCAAACCGGGAGAUAGCUGGUUCUCCCCGAAAGCUAUUUAGGUAGCGCCUCGUGAAUUCAUCUCCGGGGGUAGAGCACUGUUUCGGCAAGGGGGUCAUCCCGACUUACCAACCCGAUGCAAACUGCGAAUACCGGAGAAUGUUAUCACGGGAGACACACGGCGGGUGCUAACGUCCGUCGUGAAGAGGGAAACAACCCAGACCGCCAGCUAAGGUCCCAAAGUCAUGGUUAAGUGGGAAACGAUGUGGGAAGGCCCAGACAGCCAGGAUGUUGGCUUAGAAGCAGCCAUCAUUUAAAGAAAGCGUAAUAGCUCACUGGUCGAGUCGGCCUGCGCGGAAGAUGUAACGGGGCUAAACCAUGCACCGAAGCUGCGGCAGCGACGCUUAUGCGUUGUUGGGUAGGGGAGCGUUCUGUAAGCCUGUGAAGGUGUGCUGUGAGGCAUGCUGGAGGUAUCAGAAGUGCGAAUGCUGACAUAAGUAACGAUAAAGCGGGUGAAAAGCCCGCUCGCCGGAAGACCAAGGGUUCCUGUCCAACGUUAAUCGGGGCAGGGUGAGUCGACCCCUAAGGCGAGGCCGAAAGGCGUAGUCGAUGGGAAACAGGUUAAUAUUCCUGUACUUGGUGUUACUGCGAAGGGGGGACGGAGAAGGCUAUGUUGGCCGGGCGACGGUUGUCCCGGUUUAAGCGUGUAGGCUGGUUUUCCAGGCAAAUCCGGAAAAUCAAGGCUGAGGCGUGAUGACGAGGCACUACGGUGCUGAAGCAACAAAUGCCCUGCUUCCAGGAAAAGCCUCUAAGCAUCAGGUAACAUCAAAUCGUACCCCAAACCGACACAGGUGGUCAGGUAGAGAAUACCAAGGCGCUUGAGAGAACUCGGGUGAAGGAACUAGGCAAAAUGGUGCCGUAACUUCGGGAGAAGGCACGCUGAUAUGUAGGUGAAGCGACUUGCUCGUGGAGCUGAAAUCAGUCGAAGAUACCAGCUGGCUGCAACUGUUUAUUAAAAACACAGCACUGUGCAAACACGAAAGUGGACGUAUACGGUGUGACGCCUGCCCGGUGCCGGAAGGUUAAUUGAUGGGGUCAGCGCAAGCGAAGCUCUUGAUCGAAGCCCCGGUAAACGGCGGCCGUAACUAUAACGGUCCUAAGGUAGCGAAAUUCCUUGUCGGGUAAGUUCCGACCUGCACGAAUGGCGUAAUGAUGGCCAGGCUGUCUCCACCCGAGACUCAGUGAAAUUGAACUCGCUGUGAAGAUGCAGUGUACCCGCGGCAAGACGGAAAGACCCCGUGAACCUUUACUAUAGCUUGACACUGAACAUUGAGCCUUGAUGUGUAGGAUAGGUGGGAGGCUUUGAAGUGUGGACGCCAGUCUGCAUGGAGCCGACCUUGAAAUACCACCCUUUAAUGUUUGAUGUUCUAACGUUGACCCGUAAUCCGGGUUGCGGACAGUGUCUGGUGGGUAGUUUGACUGGGGCGGUCUCCUCCUAAAGAGUAACGGAGGAGCACGAAGGUUGGCUAAUCCUGGUCGGACAUCAGGAGGUUAGUGCAAUGGCAUAAGCCAGCUUGACUGCGAGCGUGACGGCGCGAGCAGGUGCGAAAGCAGGUCAUAGUGAUCCGGUGGUUCUGAAUGGAAGGGCCAUCGCUCAACGGAUAAAAGGUACUCCGGGGAUAACAGGCUGAUACCGCCCAAGAGUUCAUAUCGACGGCGGUGUUUGGCACCUCGAUGUCGGCUCAUCACAUCCUGGGGCUGAAGUAGGUCCCAAGGGUAUGGCUGUUCGCCAUUUAAAGUGGUACGCGAGCUGGGUUUAGAACGUCGUGAGACAGUUCGGUCCCUAUCUGCCGUGGGCGCUGGAGAACUGAGGGGGGCUGCUCCUAGUACGAGAGGACCGGAGUGGACGCAUCACUGGUGUUCGGGUUGUCAUGCCAAUGGCACUGCCCGGUAGCUAAAUGCGGAAGAGAUAAGUGCUGAAAGCAUCUAAGCACGAAACUUGCCCCGAGAUGAGUUCU
rnacentral:rRNA from 1 species